ACUUAUUAUACCCACCACCACCACUUUUCUUCUUCAUCAUCAUCUAAACCUCAAUCAUCACUCCCCCCCUAAGUUUCUCUCUCUUCACUCCUACCCACCACCACUUUCUAUCUCCACCACCACCCUCCGAAAAUUAUCUCAUCCUUUCAUCUGUACCAUCAUUCCACCGCCGAACUCACCAACCACCACCCUUUCCGCCGCCAACAUCAUCUUUGAACACCUUGGAAUUUUUGGUGUAUCCCUAUUAACAUUCCCAAAACACGAAGGGAAAAAUAACUUGAGAGAAAGAAUUGGAAACCUAAAAAUCACUGUGCCUUUUGCUUCUUACCCUUCGUCCUUACUCAGUAAUCAGUUACAAUUCCUCCAUCUCCCUCUUUAGAAGUCAUUUCUCAAAACCUCUCUUCUGUCUCAUCUGCAAUCUCAUCCUCAGAGGAGAAAUAAUUUGUUUGCACAGCCAAGCCGAGGUUUUCAUGUCGAGUGUGAAGUUGAAAUCCACACGUGGAGUUUCGAUUUGGAUUCUCGCUGUAAAGUUUGGUUUUUCUCAUCUUCAACAACCACCAUUUCAAAAUUUUGAGUAUUGUUAUGGCAUGUUAAAUUCUGGGUUUUGAUGGGUUGAAUGUCGUUGGUAGUUGCAGAUCUGGGCUCUUGGUUGUGAUUCUGGUGGUUUGGGUUUGAUUUUGGUGGUGGUUUAGUUGGUUGAUUGUGAUUUCAGUGGUUUGGGUGGUGAAUUUCGGUGAUUUUGGUGGAGAUGGUGGUGGUGUUUCGGUGGAGCUGGUGAUACUGGUGGUGCUUCGAUUGCGGUGGUGGCAGUAAGUAGUGGUACUGGUGGUGCUCCGAUGAUAGUGGUGGGAGUUGGUACCGGUACUGAUGGUGCUCCGACAGUAGUAGUGGCAGUAAGUAGUGACAGUGUGGUGGCAUUAGGUGGUGCUUGGUCCCACUUUCUCUCUCCACUUAAAUAUAAUCACAUGCCCCUUCCUAUUUCUAAUUAGCCCUUAAGAAAUUUCGACUAGGAGUUUGUGCCACUCCAAUUGUUGCGUUUAAAACGAAACGGAGGAAGUACCUACUUUUGCUUAUAACAUAAGACCUAUGCUAUAUUAAUUAAUUGCUUCCUCCGUUUCUUUUUACUCGCUACACUUUGACUUUCACGUUUGACAAUGCACCACUUUGACUAUUAAUAUCUUUAAUUGUAUGUUAGAGCAAUGUAUAAAAAUUUGAUUUUAUGAAAAUACACAUUGAGACGAA